CCUACGGGUGGCAGCAGUGGGGAAUAUUGCACAAUGGGGGAAACCCUGAUGCAGCAACGCCGCGUGAGUGAUGACGGCCUUCGGGUUGUAAAGCUCUGUCUUCAGGGACGAUAAUGACGGUACCUGAGGAGGAAGCCACGGCUAACUACGUGCCAGCAGCCGCGGUAAUACGUAGGUGGCGAGCGUUGUCCGGAUUUACUGGGCGUAAAGGGAGCGUAGGCGGAUUUUUAAGUGAGAUGUGAAAUACUCGGGCUUAACCUGAGUGCUGCAUUUCAAACUGGAAGUCUAGAGUGCAGGAGAGGAGAAGGGAAUUCCUAGUGUAGCGGUGAAAUGCGUAGAGAUUAGGAAGAACACCAGUGGCGAAGGCGCUUCUCUGGACUGUAACUGACGCUGAGGCUCGAAAGCGUGGGGAGCAAACAGGAUUAGAUACCCUAGUAGU
rnacentral:rRNA from 1 species